CAUGAUAGAGAGGACAAAGAUUUAUCGGCAAGGGAUGGGCCUGCGUCUGAUUAGUUAGUUGGUGGGGUAACGGCCUACCAAGGCGACGAUCAGUAGCCGACCUGAGAGGGUGAACGGCCCACAUUGGAACUGAGACACGGUCCAAACUCCUACGGGAGGCAGCAUGC
rnacentral:rRNA from 1 species